CUGUGAGUGAGGAAGAGAGUACAGGUGAGUGCUGUGAGAGUACAGGUGAGUGAGGAAGAGAGUACAGGUGAGUGAGGAAGAGAGUACAAGUGAGUGCUGUGAGUACAGGUGAGUGAGUAAGAGAGUACAGGUGAGCGUGGAUCAGGUAGAAGGUCAGUCUACAGGUGAGUGAGGAUCAGGUAGAAGGUCCGUCUGCAGGUGAGGGUGAAUCAGGUCAGAAGUGAAGGUACAGGUGAGUGUGGAUCAGGGAGGUCAGUCUUCAGGUGAGAGUGAAUCAGGUCUAAAGUGAGGUUGCAGGUCUGAAGUGAAGGUACAGGUGAGUGUGGAUCAGGGAGGUCAGUCUUCAGGUGAGAGUGAAUCAGGUCGAAAGUGAGGUUGCAGGUCUGAAGUGAAGGUACAGGUGAGUGUGGAUCAGGUAGAAGGUCAGUCUGCAGGUGAGAGUGAAUCGGGUCUGAAGUGAAGGUACAGGUGAUUGUGGAUCAGGGAGAAGGUCAGUCGGCAGGUGAGAGUGAAUCUUGUCUGAAGUGAAGGUACAGGUGAGUGUGGAUCAGGGAGAAGGGCAGCCUGCAGGUGAGAGUGAAUCAGGUCGAAAGUGAGGUUGCAGGUCUGAAGUGAAGGUACAGGUUAGUGUGGAUCAGGGAGGUCAGCCUGCAGGUGAGAGUGAAUCAGGUCGAAAGUGAGGUUGCAGGUCUGAAGUGAAGGUACAGGUGAGUGUGGAUCAGGUAGAAGGUCAGUCUGCAGGUGAGAGUGAAUCGGGUCUGAAGUGAAGGUACAGGUGAGUGUGGAUCAGGGAGAAGGUCAGUCUGCAGGUGAGAGUGAAUCUGGUCUGAAGUGAAGGUACAGGUGAGUGUGGAUCAGGGAGAAGGUCAGUCUGCAGGUGAGAUUGAAUCGGGUCUGAAGUGAAGGUACAGGUGAGUGUGGAUCAGGGAGAAGGUCAGUCUGCAGCUGAGAGUGAAUCGGGUCUGAAGUGAAGGUACAGGUGAGUGUGGAUCAGGGAGAAGGUCAGUCUGCAGGUGAGAGUGAAUCGGGUCAGAAGUGAAGGAACAGGUGAGUGUGGAUCAGGGAGAAGGUCAGUCUGCAGGUGAGAGUGAAUCGGGUCUGAAGUGAAGGUACAGGUGAGUGUGGAUCAGGGAGAAGGUCAGUCUGCAGGUGAGAGUGAAUCGGGUCUGAAGUGAAGGUACAGGUGAGUGUGGAUCAGGGAGAAGGUCAGUCUGCAGGUGAGAGUGAAUCGGGUCUGAAGUGAAGGUACAGGUGAGUGUGGAUCAGGGAGAAGGUCAGUCUGCAGGUGAGAGUGAAUCGGGUCUGAAGUGAAGGUACAGGUGAGUGUGGAUCAGGGAGAAGGUCAGUCUGCAGGUGAGAGUGAAUCGGGUCUGAAGUGAAGGUACAGGUGAGUGUGGAUCAGGGAGGUCAGUCUUCAGGUGAGAGUGAAUCAGGUCUAAAGUGAGGUUGCAGGUCUGAAGUGAAGGUACAGGUGAGUGUGGAUCAGGGAGAAGGUCAGUCUGCAGGUGAGAGUGAAUCGGGUCUGAAGUGAAGGUACAGGUGAGUGUGGAUCAGGGAGAAGGUCAGUCUGCAGGUGAGAGUGAAUCGGGUCUGAAGUGAAGGUACAGGUGAGUGUGGAUCAGGGAGAAGGUCAGUCUGCAGGUGAGAGUGAAUCGGGUCUGAAGUGAAGGUACAGGUGAGUGUGGAUCAGGGAGAAGGUCAGUCUGCAGGUGAGAGUGAAUCGGGUCUGAAGUGAAGGUACAGGUGAGUGUGGAUCAGGGAGAAGGUCAGUCUGCAGGUGAGAGUGAAUCGGGUCUGAAGUGAAGGUACAGGUGAGUGUGGAUCAGGGAGAAGGUCAGCCUGCAGGUGAGAGUGAAUCAGGUGGAAAGUGAGGUUGCAGGUCUGAAGUGAAGGUACAGGUGAGUGUGGAUCAGGGAGAAGGUCAGUCUGCAGGUGAGAGUGAAUCGGGUCUGAAGUGAAGGUACAGGUGAGUGUGGAUCAGGGAGAAGGUCAGUCUGCAGGUGAGAGUGAAUCGGGUCUGAAGUGAAGGUACAGGUGAGUGUGGAUCAGGGAGAAGGUCAGUCUGCAGGUGAGAGUGAAUCGGGUCUGAAGUGAAGGUACAGGUGAGUGUGGAUCAGGGAGAAGGUCAGUCUGCAGGUGAGAGUGAAUCGGGUCUGAAGUGAAGGUACAUGUGAGUGUGGAUCAGGGAGAAGGUCAGUCUGCAGCUGAGAGUGAAUCGGGUCUGAAGUGAAGGUACAGGUGAGUGUGGAUCAGGGAGAAGGUCAGUCUGCAGGUGAGAGUGAAUCUUGUCUGAAGUGAAGGUACAGGUGAGUGUGGAUCAGGGAGAAGGUCAGCCUGCAGGUGAGAGUGAAUCAGGUGGAAAGUGAGGUUGCAGGUCUGAAGUGAAGGUACAGGUGAGUGUGGAUCAGGUAGAAGGUCAGUCUGCAGGUGAGAGUGAAUCUUGUCUGAAGUGAAGGUACAGGUGAGUGUGGAUCAGGGAGAAGGUCAGCCUGCAGGUGAGAGUGAAUCAGGUGGAAAGUGAGGUUGCAGGUCUGAAGUGAAGGUACAGGUGAGUGUGGAUCAGGUAGAAGGUCAGUCUGCAGGUGAGAGUGAAUCGGGUCUGAAGUGAAGGUACAGGUGAUUGUGGAUCAGGGAGAAGGUCAGUCUGCAGGUGAGAGUGAAUCUUGUCUGAAGUGAAGGUACAGGUGAGUGUGGAUCAGGGAGAAGGGCAGCCUGCAGGUGAGAGUGAAUCAGGUGGAA